UGGACCAGCGAGGGUGAUUUGCUGCGUUGACGUGGUGCUCUGCUUGGCUGUGUGUCGG
rnacentral:SRP_RNA from 12 species